UGUCUACCGGUGGUCAGCCUGAAAAUGCCCUCACGAACAGAAUAUCUGAGGUCAAGGAAACAAAGGUUCUUCUCCAGCCUGUGAACCUCAUAUAACCACAUAUGCAUAUGCAUGGGCACACAUCUGUCCUGAUGAGUAUACUGUAAGCACUUCUUACUCAUGUGCUGUCCUAACGAGCUACUGCUCAAAAGUGGCUACUACUUCAACAUCUGUGACAGGCUAUGGUCUCCAAAGACGGUUGCACCGAUAUCUCCCAUACCACAUGUACUUCUAGAACAUUCCAUUCCUUCAUCAGUAGAUGGGGUCUGUGUCUCCCCUUCUUAAGGCCGGGUAGGACUCUGACUACUUUAACUGAAAGGGCAUGGUAGAAGUAACUCCUGGAUUCCAAGGCUAGAUCACAAAAUGCCAUGCCUUCUUCUCUGGGACACUCUUUUGGCAACUCAACAAUAAAGUCCAAGUAGAAGUGAAGGGGCCACAGCAGAGGAAGUGAGACCUCCACCCUACAUCCCUAGCUGGGUUCCUGUCUGACAGGUUGUUGUGUGACUACACAUAUGAGUCAUCUUUCAAUCACUGUAAUAAAAUACCUGAUAUAAUGAACUUAUUAAGGAAAGGGUUUAUUUUAGUUCGCAAUACUGGAGAUUCCAGUCCAUGAUAGAUUGACUCAUUAUUUUGGGCCUGUGGUAAGGUGGGAACAUCUGACAUAUCAAAAUAUCUGAUGGUUCUAAACACUUCAAGGAGGACAAGGAGAGGAAGAGGCUAAUCCCUGGUGGGGGCACUACGCAAUGACCUAACAGCCUUCCACUAGGUUCCACUUCCCAAUAAGAUCACCCCAGAGGCCAGGCUGUUAACACAUCAUGGUCCAUUCAGCAUCCUAUGGCAGGAGCUACAUAGAGAGUAUAUCAAUCGUCUUUUUUAUUAAGAUGCCAGGACUCGCGUUGCAUAAAAAGGAGACAACGCAUCCCUUCCAACCUUCAUUCAAGCUUAGGAUUUGAAAACAAAAUAAAAUUUGGAAGAACAAAAAUAAUGUAUACUACUUAUCAACAACACCAUCAGAAGAAAAUAAUAUAUGACUUCUUACUAUUUACUGAAGGGCUCCUGAACCACACCGUGAGCUGAACAAUUUGUGUAUACCCUUAGCCCUCACCCAGUGGCUGAAGGAAGCAGAGACAGACAUCCACAGAUAUACACUGAGCUGAAAUCAGGAAUUUAGUUGAAGAGAGGGAGGAAUGAAGAACGAAAGGGUCUGUACCAGGUUGGAGAAACCCACAGGAACAGUUGACCUGAACAAGGGAGAGCACAUCGACCCCAGAUGCUGUCGGGGAGGCCAGUACAAGACUGAUCCAGACCCCUGAACAUGGAUGUCAAUAAGGAGGCCUCUGCACUCCAGGGAGCCUCUGGUGGUGGAUUAGUAUUUUUCCCUGGUGCAAGAAGGGACUUUGAGAGCCCAUCCCACGUGAAGGGAUACACUCUGGCCCUGGACACAUGGGGAAGGGCCCAGGCCCAGCCCAGGAAGAUUUGGUGGACUUUGCAGAGCCCCUGUUGAGGGCCCUACCCUGCCUGGGGAGUGGUGG
rnacentral:lncRNA from 1 species